GGCCACCCUCUGUGGGGCGAUCGAUGUGGGGGCUCCGCGAUCGAUUGCCCUGCAGAGGGAGGCC
rfam:Myotis lucifugus cont2.3713, whole genome shotgun sequence.